rnacentral:rRNA from 1 species
AUGCAUGCAUGGUUUGCUGCUUUUGUGGAUACUCGGUACAGUCUUGUUCUUCCAAUAAUUGGUGUUCGGGGAUUUCAAUGGGCAAUAGAUAAUGACAUGUGGCCAGCUAGACUUGAUAGCAUUAAGCCUUUAUUUGAAGAAGCAAGAAUUGAUUCAGGGAAGAGUGAAAUAGAUGCAGAGGUUUGGGACAAGAUAGCACCUGGUAUGGCUUCACAGUUUGAUGCUCCCUACUCAGUUCCUCUGAUUGCACCACGUCCACUCCUCCUCCUAAAUGAUGCUGACGACCCUCGUUGCCCAACCCUUGGUCUACAGGAACCCGCCUCCAAAGCUGCUGAGGCUUAUGCAGAAGCUGGUUAUGCGAAUAAGUUCAAGGAUUCAAAUAACUAG